CAAUUAUAGUCUCUUAGUUGUGAAUCGACGUUACAUCUGAGUGUUCUAAGCGAACUGUUAAAACUUUCAACAACGGAUCUCUUGGCUCCAGCAUCGAUGAAGAACGCAGCGAAACGCGAUAUGUAAUGUGAAUUGCAGAAUUCAGUGAAUCAUCGAAUCUUUGAACGCACAUUGCGCCUUCCAGUAUCCUGGGAGGCAUGCCUGUCCGAGCGUCGUUUCAACCCUCGAGCCCCCGUGGCCCGGUGUUGGGGACGCUGCCCAGCUACCUGGGCAGCCCCCCUAAAUGCAGUGGCGGUCCCGCAAGUCCCAGCCCUUUGCGUAGUAAUAUCAUUCUCGCUCUGGACGGCUCGCGGGCUUACCAGCCUCGAAACCCCCUACAAAGACCGCCCCGGCGGCAACGGUUGACCUCGGAUCAGGUAGGAAUACCCGCUGAACUUAAGCAUAUCAAUAAGCGGAGGAA
rnacentral:rRNA from 1 species